GACAGAGGGUGCAAACGUUGUUCGGAAUUACUGGGCGUAAAGCGAGUGUAGGCGGUCUGUAAAGUCGGGUGUGGAAGCCCCGGGCUCAACCCGGGAAGUGCACUCGAAACUCACAGGCUAGAGUAUCGGAGAGGUUGGUGGAAUUCUCGGUGUAGAGGUGAAAUUCGUAGAUAUUCGCAAGAACACCAGUGGCGAAGGCGGCUCACUGGCCCGAUACUGACGCUGAGGUGCGAAAGCGUGGGGAGCAAACAGG
rnacentral:rRNA from 1 species